ACCAUCUCCGCGUGCACACAAAAGGACAAGGCUGUGAGAACACACGGUGAGAGGAUGGCCGUCUACAAGCCAGGAAGCGGGCCAUCACCAAGAGUGGAAUCUGCCAGCACCUUGAUCUUGGACUGUAACUUAGCGGUUACUUAGUGCUGUGCAGAAAACGAGCCCAGAACUGGUGGCUUUAAACAACCAGUCAUUGCUUCUCAUGAAAGAUAAUUGUUUCUUGUGCUUCUAAGGUCAGCUGGGUGAUUCUGUUGAUCUGGGCUAGGAUCAACGAGUCCAGCUGGGCUCACUUAUGUGCCUGCCAUCAGCUAAUGGGCCAGCUGGGGCCUGGUCUGGGGUGGCCACAGCUGAGGACAUAGCUCUGGUCCGUGUGGUGUCAUCCUCCAGGAGGCUGGCUCAGGCUUGGGAUGAACAUGGAGAUGGGGAUCCAGCGAGAGAUGUGAAGCCUCUUGAAGCUUCACCCCUUGAUGAAAAGCUGCAAAGGAACAUGAAUGCAGGAGGCUGACUGAACCCAUCACUGCAGGAGACACAAAGAGGUGACGGCCAGGUAAAGACAGAGGCAGAGAUUGGAGUGAUGUGGCCACAAGCCAAGGAACGCCAGGAGCCUCCAGAGGCUGGAAGAGGCAGGAAGGAUCCUCCCCUAAAGCCUUAGGAGGGAACACAACCCUACCAACACCUUCAUCUCAGAUUUCUGCCCUCCGGACUGUGAGGGAAUCAAUUUCUACUGUUUGAAGAUGCACAGUGUGUAAAACAGUGACGGCUGUCCUCACAGGAAGUCUGGAGUCUUUGGAUGAGAAGCAUUAAAUAAUCAGAAUAACCACUGACUCUUAUCAAGAGCUUUCCAUGUGCCAGGCUGAGGACUUCACAGCCACUCUUGUUUCAUCCCACUACAACCCACUGAAUGAGGUUAAUGAACAAGAUGGAGAAAGAAACCAAGUCAAGGAGCUUCCAGCCCUGGGGUCUGGGGAAAUUUAGAAGCCAAGAGCUUGGCAGCGCUUCCUUGGAUUUUUAACCCCAAGCCUCCUAAAGGAGCUACUGGGUUGGAGAGUGCAGCCUUAGGGCCCAGCUACUCAAAGUGUGGUCCGGGGACCAGCAUCACCAGCGUCUCCUGGAGCUUGUUGGAGCUGCAGACUCUCAGGCCCGCCCCAGAGCUGCACAAUCAGCGUCUGCAUCUUGACGAGCCCUCCAGGUGAUCGUGUGCACACUGCCUAGAUCUCAACUCCGAUGUCACUUCCCAGACACCUCCCCCACACCCCCGCACCCCUGCCCACCCUGUGCCAGGCCUGGUCCUGGGCUCUGACAGCGCCCUAUGUUAAGGCCUCUAGCACCUCCUGGAGUGUGACCUUGAGCAAGGACCCCAGGCUGGAAUAACUUCAUGGCAUCUAUCGGUGCUUGGGUGUGGUUACAUGGUCUCCUGCUCCAUGAUGGAAGACCCUAUCUGUCUGGUCCCCUCAGGGCCACUGGUUGCCCACUGAGAGCAGCCUUGAACUGGUUCUCUCCUGACACUACUGAAGGUCAGGGCAGCAAGGUUCCCCCACACUGACCAGACAAGACAGGCUGGCAAGCAGCAUCUGGCCCACCCCUCAGCCUCCACCUGCCCUUCCGAAGGCAGCAGCCCCCAGAUGCAGGUGUCUGUGUGUCUGAGUCCCUCUGGACCUCAGUCUCUCUCUCCCACACUGAGCCCCAAUGGCCAAAACAGGCUGCUUCCCAAAGGGAAUCACCACCCUCUGACACCCUGUGGGGUCUCCCUUUGGAGUAAAGAUGCUGGCCCAGCAUUUCUUUUUUGGGGGGGGGGGUGUGCUUACGGCUUGUGGGAUCUUCGUUCCCCAACCAAGGAUUGAACCCACAUCCUCAGCAGUGAAAGCGCGGAGUCCUAACCACUGGACCGCCAGGGAAUUCCCAGGCCCAGCAUUUCCUGUGCCACCUGCAUGUGCCCCUAGGAUCCCUGGAGCUCUGCCUUGGAUAUGGGUCCAGACUCAAUGCCCUCUUGGAGCCUCAAAUUUACUCAUUGGUAAAGAAUUUAAAGCGUCAUUUUUAGAAGGAAACUACACAGAUAUAUCACGAAGCAGGAUGCAAGAUCACACUUGUUUUUAAAAGAUAAAACACAAGGUCUGGAAGAAACCACUAUUGAGUGCUUACUGUAUGCUCAGGUGAAGGGCAGGCUUUCCCCAACCAUCUCAUCCUCAGGACAACCCCAUGACGUAGGGGCUCCUAUUUAACAGUUGGGGCUCAGAGAACUAAAGUGACUUGCCUGAGGUCACAGAGCAACCAGGAAGUGCUGGAGGUCUUAACCACUACACUUCCCUGUCCCUCUGACAGCAACACUUGGAGAGAGUCGUCUGUGAGGCAUUAUUCUAGAAUGUUCUAGAGCAGUCCAAACCCAGUUUUAUGGAAUUCUAGGAGUGAGGGGAGGUACAAAUAGGAGGGCUCAGGCUCCCCUUCUCCCCCCACCAAUCAAUCUGGUAUGUUAGGCUUCUGUCCAUUGUUUCAUUUGAAGGGAAGGUUCUGCAGCUGAGGCUGAAGCAGCAUAGUGAUCUGAUCGCUCAUGAAAAGGUGCUGAGCCACUGGCAAGUUUAACAACACCCAUGCCAGGGCCCCACCCCUGGAGAAGCUUGAGGGCAAGUAGAGGAGGUGAAUCCAGUGUCCCUAGCACAGAAGAAAGUGGCCUCAGGCGUGCUGUGGGCCUGGCCUGGAAGGGAGUCCGGGGCCCCUCGUACCUGAAGUCCUCAGACGCCAGCACCUCGUAGUAGUAGAGGAGUUUGCACCUGGGGCCAGGGCUGUGCAGGGCCAUCAGGACAUCCUCCACGCCCGGGAGGCUGCAGGCCAUGUGGCCAGGGGCGCUGUGCAUUUGCCACUGGAGCAGGUAGACACCAGGCCACUGGGUCACGUGGGAGCCCUGAAACACAGCAGCCACACGCCUGAGGCCCUGGUCCACCAGGGGACAGGAGCCCCUUUCUAAACCAGUCCACCAGCAAAUCCUUCCUUUUGGGGUGUCCCAAAGCCACCUUUGCUUCCCCUCUGCUGUUACCCCAUAUCCCUGGCAGCUGAGAGCCUUCCUCUUAAUCGGGAUGGGGGGUGGGGGUCGAGGCCUAGGGGGUGUGGCUAUAGGACAACAGAGGUGUGGUUUGGUUAAACACCUGGAUUUUGUUGGGCUCUUGUCCUGCCAAGUGGGAUUUGCAAAUUGAGGAGACCUGGAAAGGGAGCUUAAAUGUGCUUAGAGUUUGUUGAGGGCAGAGGGACAGCAAGAAAGGAGGGUGUUAGUUUUUAUAAGAAGAGCAACUUUGAAAAGGCUGGGAUGUUCGGUGGGACCCUGGGGCGGGGGUGCUGGUGUAUGAUGUGACAACUGUCUGCUCAAUUCCCUUAGGAAGCCUCCAGUAAGAUCUGCACUGCUCGCCAGUGCGUGCGUGCGUGCAUGUGUGUUUGAGGCUGGUGAUGUUUAACCUGCAAGCACCGGCCUCAUGGAGAAUGUGGGGGUCAGCAGGGGUGGCUCAUGUUCUGGUGAGACGUCCGAGUGCUGUUCCCAGACCUACAGUUUCUCUGCUGCCUGGGUUCUGAAAACUUGUGCAUAAGGAAUCACGGUGAGAGGUGAGGGAUACAGACACCAGGCCCCAUGCCCAGAGGUUCUGAGCCGGCCCUCCUGCCGUGGGCCCCAGCAACCUGCAUCUUCGACAAGAGUCUCGGGAUUCUGAGGAUGGGGUCCUGCCAGAAUCUGUCUUUCUCCCCAACUGUCCCGCAGGGUCUCUGAGGCCAGAGACCGGGUCCAGUUUAUCCAUUGCUGUAUUCCCAGAACCCAGCGCACAGUGGACACUCAGUCCUGAGUGAUGAAUGAAUAAAUGAACCAAAAAACAGAACCUGGGGACUUCCCUGGUGGCGCAGUGGUUAAGAAUCCACCUGCCAGUGCAGGGGACACGGGUUCGAUCCCUGGUCCGGGAAGAUCCCACAUGCCUCGGAGCAACUAAGCCCGUGUUCCACAACUACUGAGCCUGUGCUCUAGAGCCUGCGAGCCACAGCUAAUGAAGCCCAUGCGCCCUAGAGCCCGCACACUGCAACUGCUGAAGCCCACGCACUCUAGGGUCCAUGCUCCGCAGCAAAAGAAGCCACCGCAAUGAGAAGCCCGUGCACCACAACGAAGGAGUAGCCCCCGCUCACCGCAACUAGAGACAAGCCGUGCACAGCAACGAAGACCCAACACGGGCAAAAAAAUAAAUACAUAAAUAAAUUAAAAAAAAAAAAAAGAAACAGAACCUGGAUGCUCUCCCCUUCCCGGCAGAUGAGGGGGGCCUCCACACGGCUGUAAUCUGCACCCAGGGCCCAGCCUUUGUCUGUCAGCUGCCCGCCAGCCCUGGCCCCGGGCUCCCGGGGGCCUGGCUUGGGCGCCUGCUUGGUGUAGUACAGACUGAACAUCACGUCCCCUUGCAGGAUGUCAAAGUCCCAGGUGAUGACUGACUCCCUCUCCAGAAUCUCCACUGCGACCUACGUGGGGACAGGUGACAGGUUUCUCCUGAGCCCUCAGCCUCUGCAAAUCACUGGCACAAGAACCCUUGUCUCAGACCCCACUUCGGGGUCCCUGACCUAAGAUGACACCCAGCCCAGCAGGCCCUCCCAGGCCAGGACCCCGGCACCUCAUGCGGGGCCGCACGGAGCACACUGGCCGCCUGGUAGGUCUCUCUCCACUGCCGCAGCUGGUCUCUGUGUUCCUGAUCCUCUUCCGUCAGAUAGAGGGACUUGGGGACCAGCCCUCCUUCAGGGACGUUACACUGGGGGACAAAGACACCAGAGACAGUCAGGGCCCAGCCAGGCCUGGCUGACCCACAGAAAGGUGCUCUGUGACCCCUGAAGCCACACUUAUAACAUGCAUACAUAUCCUGACCAUUGGGGAGGCCUGGGUAAGCUUGGCAAAAUUCCUAGGAAACGUCUCUCUUUACCCUGAAAUCAUGAAAGCUUGCUGUUUGAGAUUUCUGUUGGAGAAAGGAAAAGGCCUGCCCUCCCACAGUCAUGAGAUAGGGUCACCCCUGCCUAUCAUCUCACCCCCCAGGGCAGGCAAUAAAAGUGGUCUGGGGGGAAAAAGGGGGUCUGGGGCCGCCUCCCCUGGAAGCAGUUUCCUGAUCAUCGCCUGCCAUGAGGCUGUGGGUUAGGGAUAAGUCCCUUUGGGUACACCAGCUCUGGGGUUCAGGCCGCUGGGACAUUUGAAUCCCCUCCCCUUGCAGCAGAGGGUGCAAAGCCAGCAGCUAAACUCUAACUGCUGCCUAGCAACGUCCUGGAUGGGAAUACAGAGGGGUAAGCCUUUGCCUGGCCUGGUCUCUGAGCUUUUGGGAAACUUCUGUUUCGCUCACUAUGUAUGAAAGAACGAAGGUCAGGCCCCUCCUUCAGAGAGGACAAGCUCUGCCCCAAAGAGCCAGCAAGGCCCUCCCCAGGUCAGAGCACACACAAAGGGCCUGCCCUCCUCCCGCCUCCUUCCAUCGGCAGCCCUGCCUCUCCCAGGCCACAGACCCUCCCCAUGCCGAAAGCACAGGGCCCGCUGGGGCCUUACCAGGCACU